GGAAACUUGAAAACUACCGUUGUCGAGAAAUGGACGUCCGAGAUUCGUCCACGUCACCAUGAGUUAAAAUUUAACUCCCAGAUUACGUGGACGAAUCUCGGACGUCCAUUUCUCGAUCCAAUGGUAGUUUCCAAGUUUUC
rnacentral:pre_miRNA from 1 species